rnacentral:tRNA from 1 species
UCGGAGGUAGCUCAGUCGGUAGAGCGGCCUUUAAUAAGGGUGUGUCGUGGGUUCGAGCCCCACCCUCCGAA